UGUGACGUAUAAUCUAGUGGACGGAACGCUUCUUUCAACAGCAACAACAGUUCGUCAGACACCUCGGUAGCUUGCUAGACAAAAUAGCCGAACCAAUAAAGCUCUUUAGACGCUUUCGUGUAUAUUAGCCGCUGUGUUUAAAACUUCUGUCGUCUAGUUAGUUAUCCGAUUUAAUUUCAUAUUUACGGUGUUGUAGUUAUUAGUCAGCUAGCGGGCUGGUUAAGUUAGCAUUAGCCUAGCUAGCUAACAUCCCCGACCAUGCGGUCACUUAGCUACUCUCCUCCUGAUAAAGAAGAGGUCUGCUGGACGGAGAAAUAAGUGGGGGAAGGUGGAGGCUGUUAAAUUACAAAAACAAGUUGAGGCUGUUGCAGUGAAAGAAGAGGAAGACGCACUGAGAGUGAAAGAGGAGGAGGAUGUUACUGUAUUUUUAUUUUAUUUAACCAGGAGAGAGACGGGACUAUCGUGGAGCCUCAACAAAAUCAUGAUGCUGACAAGGCAGAAAAAAGUCUCUCCAGAUCAAAACACCCCAAGAAGCACCUGCAGAGACCCACAAGGAAGAGAGCUCACCCCUGCUCUGACUGUGGAAAGAGUUUUGUUCGCCCAGGACAAUUAAAAUCACACCAGAGAACACACACAGUAGAGAAACCUUCUAGCUGUAAUCAAUGUGAGAAGAGUUUUACUCAGUCAAGCAACCUGAUAUCACACCAGAGAAGACACACAGGAAAUAAACCUUUUAGCUGUGAGGACUGUGGAAAGAGUUUUACUACAUCUAACCAUCUUAUUGUACACCAGAGAACACACACAGGAGAGAAAUCUCAUAACUGUGAUCAACGUGACAAGAGAUACUCUGAUCAAACAUCAGAAAAUACAUGGAGUUGUUUCAUGAUAUAAAUGAAAUGUCACAAUGUAGAAUGUUUUAACAUUGUAGAAGGAGUAUUUUAAUGAUGUCACAAUGUAGAUCCCUAAACGUUUGUCGCAUGUUCUAUUGAUUUCAGCAUGAUCUGGAUAUUAGCCUCAGGGGGAAAAUCCAGGCUCUGAAUUGAAAGAGUACUAAUUAUGUGAUUUAACAAAAAGUGACUAACAAAAAAGAGUUGUUACACUUACCACGUUGGUGACCCACUUGAAUCAAAAUGCAACACUUCAAAAUGUAGCUAGCUGUUUUUUUUACAAAUUGUCCUCUAACCAAUGAUUUACACAUUAUUCCCAGAUUCCUUGUGGUUUUUGCUGUCUUAGUUUUAACAGGAUGUGCAACCUCAUCUGCCCCCUCUCACGCAAUUGAUUUCAACAUGAUAUUGAUGAGUUAUGACAAAUAAGUGUUGUGUUCCUUUGUUUAGCGACCCCUACAUUUAAAUGCAUCACUCCAAAAUGUAGCUGACUGUCUUCUGCAGGUUGUCGUCUAACCAGUGAGGUUAAAGAUAUCUCCCAUUUCCAUGUGUUUUUUUAGUUGUGUUAGUUUCAACAGCACGUACAACCUGAUUUCCCCCCCAAAUCGAUAUCAGUGAUUUAUUGCUACUUGUGCAGUUUUUAAGGUGCUUGUUUAAAAAAAUAAAAGUAAUAUGAUUUUUGUGGCAGAAG